rnacentral:rRNA from 3 species
UACGUAGGGUGCGAGCGUUGUCCGGAAUUAUUGGGCGUAAAGAGCUCGUAGGCGGUCUGUCGCGUCGGUCGUGAAAACUUGGGGCUUAACCCUGAGCUUGCGGUCGAUACGGGCAUGACUGGAGUUCGGCAGGGGAGACUGGAAUUCCUGGUGUAGCGGUGAAAUGCGCAGAUAUCAGGAGGAACACCGGUGGCGAAGGCGGGUCUCUGGGCCGAUACUGACGCUGAGGAGCGAAAGCGUGGGGAGCGAACAGG